AAGAAGAAAAAAACUAGCUCCUGGCAUGCACGCGUACAUUCUAAUACACAUGCAUGCAUGCAUGCCACUAUAACAUGUGAUUUUUUUUUGCGGGUGUAUAAGGGGCGGAGUGCUGAUGCUCAUCUAUUGAGUAUUUAGUUCAUAAGUAUGAAAAAUUCACAAAUAUAGCACAGGCCAUUAGUCACAUCUUAGCACCAUCUUUUUUUAAUUUUUGGCUCCGCCACUGGGUGUAUAUCUAUAUAAACACAUGUGAUUCUUGCACGUGCGUGCAUGCCUGACUGUGUAAUUGGGGUGGAUAUGUACAGAGAGGGAGUUGCACAAGUCGCUACGUCUUUUCUUCUUCUAACCUAAUUAACGCUGUCAAGGAAGGUUUUUUACGUCCAGUAUACUACGUGACAGUUUCUUACCGUACCGACCAUGCUUUCA
rnacentral:lncRNA from 1 species